rnacentral:rRNA from 1 species
UACAGAGGUCUCAAGCGUUGUUCGGAUUCAUUGGGCGUAAAGCGCGCGUAGGCGGACCUGCAAGUCGGGGGUGAAAGCCCGAGGCUCAACCUCGGAACUGCCUUCGAUACUGCGGGUCUCGAGUCCGGGAGAGGUGAGUGGAAUUCCUAGUGUAGAGGUGAAAUUCGUAGAUAUUGGGAAGAACACCAGUGGCGAAGGCGGCUCACUGGCCCGUAACUGACGCUGAGGUGCGAAAGCGUGGGGAGCAAACAGG